ensembl:lncRNA
CUGCAGCGGCCGUGUCGGCACCGAGAGCACCCUGCCGGGACUCUGGAUCCGCCUCUCGCCCGGGUGGAGCGGCCACUGCUCCGGACAGCACCGAUUACCGGAGAGAGGCAAGUGUUCAAGGAUGCUUCACAGGUUUUCUUCCUUAAGCUCCAGCUCCCUCCCGAGUCCUCCCCACUCCUACCCGCACCUCCGCCCCCAGAUAUGCAGCUUUAGGGGAGAAGCGAGGAGCCGGCGGCGGGGUGGUGAGGGGCUUUCUUCCAGAGAGGAGUGGAAAGCAGCGAUCUUUCUUCCAGGCCGUGGCGACCCAAACCAGGUAAAAUCCCCACCAGGAUCCCCGGUCCAGUUCUCUGCCUCAGGGCAAGGGUGUGGGGUUGGAGGAACAGCAGAGCGGAACUAAGGUUUCCCAGGAUGAGCCUGGGGCUGCCUUGGGGGGCCGAACGGGGGCAACCGGGCUUGGCAUCUGCCAAAGGUGCCGCAGCUGCCGCCAAAUUCACGAAGCCGGGCGGGGAAGACGGUAAGGGCGCCUGGAAAGCAGGAAGCGGCUCCUAAACCUGGCACCCCAGCGCUCCAAAGGGGGUGCUCUACCCGCUCGGAGCUGUGGGGGCGUUUAGUUCUCGUACCCACUCCGCCGGGCGACGCUGAAACCCGGUCUGCCGUCUGUUUGGCUGGGUCUGGCGCCCCAUCCGAGAUGCGCAGCACCCCCAGACCCCGGAGUGCGCGGUCUCUGGCCACAACCUCCCCAAGCCCACCGUGGCCGCCGCCCGGUCUCCCGCGCUCCUCGCUUUUCAGAUUCCAGAUGCAAGCCGACCUGUUGCAUGCAGAAAAGCGGCGGGGUGAGAUGUUCCAGGUCUCUCCUCCCCGCCUUGCCGGCCUCCGCCCGCCACGAGAUCUGACAGCCAGGAGCCCCCGGGACCUUGCGUGCAGACGCCGAGAGCCUAGUGCCCAAAGAGAAAACGCGUAAGUGCUGGGAGGCCACCGGGUAAUCAUCCCACUGCAAAUUGCCGCAUUGUGAUUGUGGCAAAUCAUCCCGCUAACCCGGGGAAGGAAAAGGAGAGGCGCGGGGGACUGAGCCGGGCAGGGAGUCGAGUCUACUGCAAAAAGAGCAUCCAGUGCAGACAAGUCCUAGUCUCGCCUUUUACCCUGGCGGCAGACUGAGCGCGUGCACUUUACGUCCCUACCUCGGAGUUAAAACGGGUCGGCCGAUGGUCCCCAGAGCCCCUCCACAGCGAGUCCGAGACUUCAGCUUCAGCACCAGAGAGUGGACAGCGCCCUGCCGGUCUUCGCCCAAGGGUGGGUUCCCGCCAGUACUCUGCUUCCUAGCCCGGUUCCCCAGAUCCCUCGCGAGGGAGGCCAGGAGGCGAGACAGGGUUCACCGAGAAAAGGAGGGGAAGGGUUUCAUCUUCCCUAUUUUCAGGAAUUUAAGUAUCAAAUUCUGGGAGGGCAUUCUAUCGUCCCUCCUCUAAAAGCAUUUGGAAUAACUUGGUGCCAAGCACAAGCAGGAUGUCGAAGAGGAAAGAUGUGCUCUGGUAAGUGGUGAGCCUAGGCACAAGUGGGACAGUGGUUCUACCGGGGACCCCGGCACUGGUGUCCUGUGGAAGGUCAGGGCAUCCAAGUCACAUUCUCUCUACUGCAAACCCCCCUUCUCUCUCACUCUCCCCGAAGUCUCCAUAGGCCUUAACACCGGUAAAUGAAGAGAAAAGAGUGGGAUGGUGGGAGAAGAUAUCGAGCUAUGGAGGCCAAGGUAAAAACCACAUUUUAUCAGGGCUGGAACAACUUAGUGAAGAUGACAUCUGUCCAAAUUGCACGUUGAGGUCUGUUUAGCCAAAGGAGCACGGAGUGCUCUUUGUGUUAGGAGAUGAAUGACUAUUUUGCCAAGAAGGAAAAUAGCCAUCCAAGGGAAGAUGUUAUCACAAAAGGGGGCUAACAGAGGUGGGGGAGGAAGAGAGGGGGACAGGACCCCCCCAACUAGAGUGUGGUUUCCAGGCAACCAGCCCAGCCUCUUGUUUCCGUGGUUACAGUGAGUGGAGGGGCUUUGGCUAUUGAUUUAUCUGGAAGCAACUUUAUUCUUGAAAAUACCUGCUUUGGAGCUCCUUCCUUCCCUGGUCUGGAUGUGCCUGGUGAAGCAAGUACCUUUCUGCCACCUCAGUCCUUCCUUUCCUCUCUCCCACCUCCUUCAGAAAGCUGUCUUCUGGCCUGCAUUUUCAGUGACAAAAAGGUGGAUAGAUGGAGACAAUGACCCUCUAAUUUGGUGUAAGAGAAGACAUAACUUUCCAGGAAGGCUGUGACAGAUAGUCUUGCUUAGGGAUGCUCACAUUAGUCUCCACUUCUCAAAAAGGAGGGGCGCGUCAAAGUUCCUUCUCUUCCAAGACAGGAAUCAUCUGGCAACAGCUUGAGAAAACUUAAGGUAAGUACAGACCCCACUGGUCCGUCUUCCCUUGUUCUUGGCUGGAGGGGAUCCUGGGAGUGGACAGAAUCUCCACCAUGAUGGUGCUAUCAAGAGCCACCUCCUUUAGUGACCCCAUCUAUGCCAGAGUCUGACUGGGGCAAUGACCAAGCUCUAAGCCUUUAAUAAUGGGCGCUAUGUCACGUAUGCGUUUGGAGCCUGCACCCUCCCCCGCCCCUCUCUUCCAUAUUCCCUAGCUCUCUUCACAAAAAGAUAAAUGAAGGCUCCGUUACUUGUCUCCAUGGUUACAUGGAAUGGCCACCCUGAGGAUCCCUAUCACCCCUUACUGUCGGAAGGAAAAAGAGAGGAGGGGUUCGGGGAUCUUUGUGAAGGAGGAAACCAUGGAAACAAGCGUUGCUAAGGGGAUGGUUCUAAAUUCAGAGGAAAGAAACAAAGUGGGGAGAGGGAGUUGAUGGGCUCAAGGGCAGGUCAGUUUUUCAAGGUACAUUUCUCUGAGGCUUCAGCAGCCUCUUUCACUUCUUGCAUCUUGCCCUCAACCCAGAUGGAGCCCAGAGUUUAAAAAUUUUAGAAAGCUGGGGCCUCUGUCAGGUUCAAAUCCAUCUCCGUCGGUCCUGCAAGGAAAAGGCCAAUGACAGUGGGUUUAUUGUGUUCACACCUCAUGAUUAUACUUUUAUCUCUAAACUCUGCCUCACUGCUGAUCAGUUUCAUCUAAUAUGAGCCAGGCUCUUGCGAGGCUUUGGAAAAUAAUCAUCAGCAAAAUAGUCCCUGCUUGCAUGGUGAGCUGAUAGCAGGACAGUCCCUUGGUGACUUUAGAGCCAAGAUUUGCUCACAUGGACUGGACUGGACAGUCGUGCAUAGCAGGAUAUGGCAGUGUCCAGGAGUCUCUCCAAACUCUCUUUGUAAUACCUUUUAGCUUAUUUAUUACUAUCUGAAGUUUACCUGAGAGCUUGCUGGGAAAGGCCAGUUUUUCCUGGGAAUACUUAGGGCUCUAGCCCCUCCAGUGAACCUUCACCUUGGUUAGCCAUGCCCUCUGAUAUUAGCACUCUUGUCUCUGAAACGGUACAUCAAGGAUGAUGAACUAGUCCUCUCUCAACAGAGCCAAAGCGACUUAGGUUUUUUUGGUUUUAAACUUUUUGGCUGCAGCGCUCAGCAUGCAGGAUCUUAGUUGCUCCACCAGGGGUUGAAACUGCACCUUCUGCAGUGAAAGCUUGGAGUCUUAACCAUCCUGGUGACUCAGAAGGUAGAGAAUAUGCCUGCAGUGCAGGAGACCUGGGAAGAUCCCCUAGAGAAGGAAAUGGCAGCCCACUCCAGUAUUCUCGCCUGGAGAAUACCAUGGACAGAGGAGCCUGGGAGGCUACCGUCCAAGGGGUCGCAAAGAGUCGGACACGACUGAGCGACUAAACACACACACAGUUAUUUUCUUUUACAAGAAGUUAAUGGCAAUAAAUCCCUCUUUCUUCCUUGAUGACUUAGCUGGGAUGGGGAGCCCUCAAGACCCUGCACCUUAGAGCUGCAGAGUUAGCACCUUGGUAGGGAGUGGAGGGGGGCCAGUCUUAGCCUCCUGGGGAGGGACACCCCUCUCCCCUCUCUUAUAUCAGGCUGACUGCUGGAAGGGGCUGGGCCUCCCAGCUGGGUGCUGCUGGUCUCCUCCACAUCCCCUGCUCUUCAGUUGCUCUGGGCCAGCCCUUCCUCACUCUGGGCGGAGAGAACCAGCCCAGAGAUGGAGGGUUGGGCUACAGAGGAAGAGCCUGUAAUUAAGAAGAGAAAGAAUUAAAAGCAGCACAGAAAGGGAAGGGUAAUUAUCCUUCAGCUGCUGCAGAAAUACAAUUAGGGCCGUGCUCUUGGAGCCGCCAGGAUAUUGUGGCUUUGGCUAAUUAAGAAGCGGAUAUCCCCUGCCAGGACAAUUAGUGGCCUGCCUGGCUGGCAGGGGCCCUUUCCCUCCCCUCCAUCAGGGUCCAGGCCUGGGGAAAUGAAGCACGGAGCCCAGCUUGGGGGG